GGAACGGAGAGUACGAGAACAUCCACGAAAGACCCGGUCACGUGACCAGGACAUCCGGAGAGCGCGCUCGUAACCUAGCAACCGCCGGACGGAGGACGAGGGAGGAAGCCGGUGUCGGAGCUCAGGCGAACAGCGGGAGAAGACGGCAGAUGGUGACUGCUGGAAGGAAAAAUAGAACCUUCAAAUCAGGAAUGUCAAGCUAAAAUCAGGUUGGAAGGGAUGGUCCUCAAGACGUCGUCUGGAAAACGUUGACCGUGUAGAGGUGACAUGGAUUCAAAACCCGAAAAGUGCCCGCAGCACAUCUCUACUCUAAACCUUAAGGCACUGAAGAAAAACAAGAAAACAACUCUUCUCACCACACUGCUCCCAGGAAAUAAAGUUUGGGAUGGAGUGCUUCUCCAGAUGUAAAAAAUCCUUCAAGCC